rnacentral:rRNA from 1 species
UGGGGAAUCUUGGACAAUGGGCGCAAGCCUGAUCCAGCCAUGCCGCGUGGAUGAUGAAGGCCUUAGGGUUGUAAAAUCCUUUCGCCGAGGACGAUAAUGACGGUACUCGGAGAAGAAGCUCCGGCUAACUUCGUGCCAGCAGCCGCGGUAAUACGAAGGGGGCUAGCGUUGUUCGGAUUUACUGGGCGUAAAGCGCGUGUAGGCGGGUCGUUAAGUUGGGGGUGAAAUCCCGAGGCUCAACCUCGGAACUGCCUUCAAAACUGGCGACCUGGACCUAAGUAGAGGCAAGUGGAAUUGCGAGUGUAGAGGUGAAAUUCGUAGAUAUUCGCAGGAACACCAGUGGCGAAGGCGACUUGCUGGACUUAUGGUGACGCUGAGACGCGAAAGCGUGGGGAGCAAACAGGAUUAGAUACCCCCGUAGUCCCUGAGCGGGCUGGCAAGGCGCAU